CAGCAGCCGCGGUAAUACAGAGGGUGCGAGCGUUAAUCGGAUUUACUGGGCGUAAAGCGUGCGUAGGCGGCUUUUUAAGUCGGAUGUGAAAUCCCUGAGCUUAACUUAGGAAUUGCAUUCGAUACUGGGAAGCUAGAGUAUGGGAGAGGAUGGUAGAAUUCCAGGUGUAGCGGUGAAAUGCGUAGAGAUCUGGAGGAAUACCGAUGGCGAAGGCAGCCAUCUGGCCUAAUACUGACGCUGAGGUACGAAAGCAUGGGGAGCAAACAGGAUUAGAGACCCCGGUAGUCCCUGUCUCUUAUAC
rnacentral:rRNA from 1 species